rnacentral:rRNA from 1 species
UAGGGAAUCUUCGGCAAUGGACGAAAGUCUGACCGAGCAACGCCGCGUGAGUGAAGAAGGUUUUCGGAUCGUAAAACUCUGUUGUUAGAGAAGAACAAGGACGUUAGUAACUGAACGUCCCCUGACGGUAUCUAACCAGAAAGCCACGGCUAACUACGUGCCAGCAGCCGCGGUAAUACGUAGGUGGCAAGCGUUGUCCGGAUUUAUUGGGCGUAAAGCGAGCGCAGGCGGUUUCUUAAGUCUGAUGUGAAAGCCCCCGGCUCAACCGGGGAGGGUCAUUGGAAACUGGGAGACUUGAGUGCAGAAGAGGGGAGUGGAAUUCCAUGGGUAGCGGUGAAAUGCGUAGAUAUAUGGAGGAACACCAGGGGCGAAGGCGGCUCUCUGGUCUGUAACUGACGCUGAGGCUCGAAAGCGUGGGGAGCAAAAAGG